rnacentral:lncRNA from 1 species
UCUGACGCAAUAACUUAUGCGAGCUUGCGUUAAGUAAGAGGGUUAGUUGGGAGUUGGGAGUAAGUUGGGCGUAAGGCCCAGUGCUGCCCGUGUCCUCAGGGCAGUAAUUCAUUGCGCGCAUUGCACUAAUAAGAUUAUCUUGAAUUUGUUGUUUAGCGCGUAUGCAUUGCUUAUACUCACGCUGAUCCUCCAAUGACGACAGUGUAAGGUAAAGCCUAAUGAAUUAGCAUCUUCAUAACAAGAAUCUGUAUUUCUUCCUCUAUAAUGGCGCAGCAUUCAUUCGCAGGCAAGCAGGGGAAAGCAGGAAAAGGGGGACUAGACGGCACCGGCAGUAAGUGGCCAUCAUGCAGGUGCAUACACUGACAUUAUGCCUUGUCAUUUUACAUUAACAGGACACGAGCAGGAGAAUCGCAAGGAAUAGGACAAGCGCAAGGAUGGUGGUAAGGAUAUGAACAAGAGUCGGGCUCAAACGGGACGUGGCAUGCCACGUAGCGGCCGUUCGGAGGUAUGAAGCCUCUGGUUGCAAGACCAUGGCUAUUAACUAAAUGCUUUUUAUUGCCUUAUUUCGAGGCACGU